rnacentral:rRNA from 1 species
UACGAAGGGUGCAAACGUUGCUCGGAAUCAUUGGGCGUAAAGCGCACGUAGGCGGUUCGUUAUGUCGGAUGUGAAAGCCCUUGGCUUAACCGAGGAAGUGCAUCCGAAACUGGCGAGCUAGAGUACUAAAGAGGAUCGCGGAAUUCCCGGUGUAGAGGUGAAAUUCGUAGAUAUCGGGAGGAACACCGGUGGCGAAGGCGGCGAUCUGGGUAGAUACUGACGCUGAGGUGCGAAAGCGUGGGGAGCAAACAGG